AACGAACGCUGGCGGCAUGCCUAACACAUGCAAGUCGAACGAGAUCUUCGGGUCUAGUGGCGCACGGGUGCGUAACGCGUGGGAACCUGCCCUUAGGUUCGGAAUAACUCCCCGAAAGGGGUGCUAAUACCGGAUAUUGUCUUCGGACCAAAGAUUUAUCGCCUUUGGAUGGGCCCGCGUCGGAUUAGCUAGUUGGUAGGGUAAAAGCCUACCAAGGCGACGAUCAAUAGCUGGUCUGAGAGGAUGAUCAGCCACACUGGGACUGAGACACGGCCCAGACUCCUACGGGAGGCAGCAGUGGGGAAUAUUGGACAAUGGGCGAAAGCCUGAUCCAGCAAUGCCGCGUGAGUGAUGAAGGCCUUAGGGUUGUAAAGCUCUUUUACCCGGGAUGAUAAUGACAGUACCGGGAGAAUAAGCUCCGGCUAACUCCGUG
rnacentral:rRNA from 1 species